AUUGAACGCUAGCGGGAUGCUUUACACAUGCAAGUCGAACGAGUGGCGGACGGGUGAGUAAUAUAUCGGAACCUGCCCAGUAGCGGGGGAUAACUACUGGAAAGAGUAGCUAAUACCGCAUACCAUCGGAGCGGCCGAUAUCGGAUUAGCUAGUAGGUGGGGUAAAGGCUCACCUAGGCAACGAUCCGUAGCUGGUUUGAGAGGAUGACCAGCCACACUGGGACUGAGACACGGCCCAGACUCCUACGGGAGGCAGCAGUGGGGAAUAUUGGACAAUGGGCGAAAGCCUGAUGCAGCCAUGCCGCGUGUAUGAGAAGGCCUUCGGGUUGUAAAGUACUUUUGGCGGGGAGGCGGUAUCUGCAGAAGAAGCACCGGCUAACUACGUGCCAGCAGCCGCGGUAAUUC
rnacentral:rRNA from 1 species